UACGUAGGCAGCGAGCGUUGUUCGGAGUUACUGGGCGUAAAGGGUGUGUAGGCGGUUCUUUAAGUUUGGUGUGAAAUCUCCCGGCUCAACCGGGAGGGUGCGCCGAAUACUGAGGGGCUAGAGUACGGGAGAGGAAAGUGGAAUUCCUGGUGUAGCGGUGAAAUGCGUAGAGAUGCGGGGGAACACCGAUGGCGAAGGCAGCCCCCUGGGCCAACACUGACGCUCAGGCACGAAAGCGUGGGGAGCAAACAGG
rnacentral:rRNA from 1 species